rnacentral:rRNA from 1 species
AGUGAACGCUGGCGGUAGGCCUAACACAUGCAAGUCGAACGGCAGCACAGUAAGAGCUUGCUCUUACGGGUGGCGAGUGGCGGACGGGUGAGGAAUACAUCGGAAUCUACUUUUUCGUGGGGGAUAACGUAGGGAAACUUACGCUGAUACCGCAUACGACCUACGGGUGAAAGCAGGGGAUCUUCGGACCUUGCGCGAUUGAAUGAGCCGAUGUCGGAUUAGCUAGUUGGCGGGGUAAAGGCCCACCAAGGCGACGAUCCGUAGCUGGUCUGAGAGGAUGAUCAGCCACACUGGAACUGAGACACGGUCCAGACUCCUACGGGAGGCAGCAGUGGGGAAUAUUGGACAAUGGGCGCAAGCCUGAUCCAGCCAUACCGCGUGGGUGGAGAAGGCCUUCGGGUUGUAAAGCCCUUUUGUUGGGAAAGAAAAGCAGCAGGUUAAUACCCCGCUGUUCUGACGGUACCCAAAGAAUAAGCACCGGCUAACUUCGUG